CAAUAGCGUAUAUUAAAGUUGUUGCAGUUAAAAAGCUCGUAGUUGGAUUUGUGGUGUACUUCGGCGGCCCGUCACUAUGUGAUGGAGCUUGCUGAAGUCGCCAUCCUUGGGUGGAUUCUGUCUGGCAUUAGGUUAUCGGGCAGAGGAUCCUCAUCGUUUACUGUGAAAAAAUUAGAGUGUUCAAAGCAGGCUUAUGCCGUUGAAUAUAUUAGCAUGGAAUAAUAAGAUAGGACUUUGGUACUAUUUUGUUGGUUUGCGCACCAAAGUAAUGAUUAAUAGGGACAGUUGGGGGUAUUCGUAUUCCGUUGUCAGAGGUGAAAUUCUUGGAUUUACGGAAGACGAACUACUGCGAAAGCAUUUACCAAGGAUGUUUUCAUUA
rnacentral:rRNA from 1 species